GCGAUCCCAAGGCGCACAAGUGCUCUCACCAGGCUGCGCGCUGGCGGGUCGGUGCACAGGGACGGGGUCGCCGCCCACGCGCGCUUGGUUCAGGGAGCCCAGGCUGUCCCUACCCGCGGCUACAAAAGCUCGCCGAGUCUUCCUGUCCACCCAAUCGCCCCACAUGUCAGCGGUUGGUCGCCUCGCGGUGCAGUGCUGGGCACGCGAGCCCCUCCCGCAGUCAUUCUCAGCACAAGCACCAGCCUGGAGCCCCGCAGCGACAGAGCUGAGAGCCCCCAAGCCGCAGAGGUCGUGCGGAGCAGUUGCCCUUGGCUAUAAAGCCUGAAGUGGGUGUUGGAGUAGUCAACGACUAACCCAGGAUGGAUUUGUGCCAAUACACAAGUGACAACAUCUUUCACAGCUGAAGAGUCGGAGGAUAAAGCCAUGCCCACAGAUCGUUGUCACACAGAUUUGAUUAAGUGAAACAAAGCCCCAGCUGCUGGAGCAGAGGUUCCACUUGGGUUCCACAGACACCCACAGCCCAAAUCCCUGGAGGCCUAAGGCAAUAGCUAAUUGAGACUAUGCAUCACUAUUAAGGCAUCUUCACUAAAGGGCGCUGUGGAAACGCUGCCUGAGAUGCAGACACCUGUCAGAAGGGGGCUAAAUUUCAAACAAGGAACGUGGUGUUGCAUCACAAUAAAGUAGAUUCUAGUAUUACCUUCCUUUUUCAGAAGAGGAGACCAAUGGGGAGCAUUGGAAUGAUUUGGUUGCAAGCAUACUACACUACUUGUAAACUGCAGACACAGGCUUAAAAAAAGUGAAAAACUAACCAUGCAAUAAAGAAUGGAAUGAACCAUGAAGCUGUUUCUGUGGCCAGUCAUGUUUUUGAAGCAUAUCCCAUGCUAAUUUCUAGAACAGAAGAAACACACGUGUUCUUGUGUGUAAACCCAGUCCAUGGAAGAGACCGUCUGCUUGUCCCUCCUGAUCUCUGGGCCCAGACAACCAGUAGUCACCAUUCCAAGUGAGGGGUGGCUGCAACUCUACAGCCCCGUUCGUCUCUCCUCACUGUCAAAGCUGCUGAGACCCCAGACUCGACACUUGAAAGAAACCCAUGUCUGUGAAGCACUUGUGGACCAUUCAAGAUUGUGGAAGAAUCACUCAAGAGAAGGAGAUAGGUGAUGGGAUCUAGCUUCUGAUGGUUUCUAUUUUAUUGAAUGUCUAAUAGGGCAAGAAUUUGAAAAACGAGAAUGUUUGCCAUGCAGGAGGACCUGGGAAGGAGAUAACACAUUUACAGGGAGAAAGAUUGGGAUUCAGUUGGGAGGAGUAACUGAGGAAAGGGGUCACUCAAAAUAUUUUGUAUUUUAGGUCCUUUUUCUAUUAAGGAGGAAUGGAUUAUCAAAGCCUUAACAUUAAAUUGUAUUGUGUCAGGUGAAUUGCUAUGGUUUGAAUGUGGUGUGUCCCCCUCCCAAACUCACAUUGAAUUUUUUUUUUUUUUUUUGAGACGGAGUCUCGCUCUGUUGCCCAGGCUGGAGUGCAGUGGUGCGAUCUUGGCUCACUACAAGCUCUGCCUCCCGGGUUCAAGAGAUUCUCCUGCCUCAGCCUCCCGAGUAGCUGGGAUUACAGAUGUUCGUCACCACACCUGGCUAAUUUUUGUAUUUUUAAUAGAGAUGGGGUUUCACUAUGUUGGCUAGGCUGGUCUCAAACUCCCGACAUCAGGUGAUCCACCCACCUCGGCCUCCCAAAGUGCUGGGAUUAGAGGAGUGAGCCACUGCACCCAGCCUCACGUUGAGGUUUAAUUGCCAUUGUAACAGUAUAAAGAUGUGGGACCUUUACGAGGUGAUUAGGCAAUGAGGACUCUGCCCUCAUGAAUGGAUUAAUGCUGUUAUCAUGGGAGUGGAUUCCUUAUAAAGGGACACGUUCAGCACCCCCUUGCUCUCUCUCUCACCUUCCGCCAUAUGAUGAUGGGGCACAAAGGCCAUCAUCAGAUGUUGGCCCCUUGUUCUCGAACUUCCCAACCUCCAGAGCAGUAAAAAAAUAAAUCACUGUUCUUUAC
rnacentral:lncRNA from 10 species